GUGGGGAAUAUUGGACAAUGGGCGCAAGCCUGAUCCAGCCAUACCGCGUGGGUGAAGAAGGCCUUCGGGUUGUAAAGCCCUUUUGUUGGGAAAGAAAUCCUGUCGAUUAAUACUCGGUGGGGAUGACGGUACCCAAAGAAUAAGCACCGGCUAACUUCGUGCCAGCAGCCGCGGUAAUACGAAGGGUGCAAGCGUUACUCGGAAUUACUGGGCGUAAAGCGUGCGUAGGUGGUGGUUUAAGUCUGCUGUGAAAGCCCUGGGCUCAACCUGGGAAUUGCAGUGGAUACUGGAUCACUAGAGUGUGGUAGAGGGAUGCGGAAUUUCUGGUGUAGCAGUGAAAUGCGUAGAGAUCAGAAGGAACAUCCGUGGCGAAGGCGGCAUCCUGGGCCAACACUGACACUGAGGCACGAAAGCGUGGGGAGCAAACAGGAUUAGAUACCCCUGUAGUCC
rnacentral:rRNA from 1 species